UACGUAGGGUGCGAGCGUUAAUCGGAAUUACUGGGCGUAAAGCGUGCGCAGGCGGUGAUGUAAGACAGAUGUGAAAUCCCCGGGCUCAACCUGGGAACUGCAUUUGUGACUGCAUCGCUAGAGUACGGUAGAGGGGGAUGGAAUUCCGCGUGUAGCAGUGAAAUGCGUAGAUAUGCGGAGGAACACCGAUGGCGAAGGCAAUCCCCUGGACCUGUACUGACGCUCAUGCACGAAAGCGUGGGGAGCAAACAGG
rnacentral:rRNA from 1 species